rnacentral:hammerhead_ribozyme from 1 species
ACCUUGCUGACGAGUGCCACGUAGCACGAAACGCGGGUCCAGGGU